GGAGGAAGGAGAAGCUUUAUUUGUGCUAGAAUAAAAAUCCACACACAAACCUGCAUCCCACGACUGGAGUUGCCGUCGGACCAGCAGCAGGAGACCGAGCCGUCAUGGCCAUGGAGCACGGCCUCCACUACGCGCCGCCGAGCUUGAUCCCUACCUCAUCCGCCUCGCGUUUAUGUCCGCCGCUUCCCUGCCGUUGCCCUUCUCGGAGAGCCCUGUCGUCGUCGUCCUGCGUAUGUCCCGAUCGGAUCAAAAGCGCGGCCGCUCGAUCUGCAGCCGAACAUGAAGGGCACACAAAGAUCGAACCGUUUUUUCUCCCUCACCAAGGACUGCGGGUUGAUUAUCAUAAAAUAGAAGGGUUUUUCUGCAAAAAUGCCACGACGGAAAACCAGAAAUCCAAUUUGUUUUAUUAUUAGGGAGAGAUUCCACCGGUUUAGAAUACAGACCUCCACGCAUCGUUUUGUGGAUUAGGCAAAUGUAGUACCAAUGUUGGGCAUUGCCAGACCAGCUUUAAUCUAAAACGAAUUAUCAA